rnacentral:tRNA from 1 species
GGAGAGGUGGCAGAGCCCGGUUGAAUGCGGCGGUCUUGAAAACCGUUAGGCCUUCGGGCCUCGGGGGUUCGAAUCCCUCCCUCUCCG